rnacentral:misc_RNA from 1 species
UCUCCGUAGGUGAACCUGCGGAGGGAUCACUACAGACCUGUUACGGCUGUUGCACUUCUGUAUUUCCACCUGAAUCUGCCUCGACGUCGCAAGCCCUGGCUGGGUACGAUUCUCUGGUUGACCGCGUUAGUUCCGCCAAUACAAUUCCAACUUUUAACACUGGAUCUCUUUUUUCUUGCAUCAAUGAAUACCGCAGCGGAUCGGCAAGUCCCACGUCUGAACUCCAGUCACUUCGUCCGAACUCGCAUGCCGUCUUCCUCCUGUGAGUGUCACAGC